rnacentral:rRNA from 1 species
CAAGGCAAUGAUGCGUAGCCGAACUGAGAGGUUGAUCGGCCACAUUGGGACUGAGACACGGCCCAAACUCCUACGGGAGGCAGCAGUAGGGAAUCUUCCACAAUGGGCGAAAGCCUGAUGGAGCAACGCCGCGUGGGUGAAGAAGGUCUUCGGAUCGUAAAACCCUGUUGUUAGAGAAGAAAGUGCGUGAGAGUAACUGUUCACGUUUCGACGGUAUCUAACCAGAAAGCCACGGCUAACUACGUGCCAGCAGCCGCGGUAAUACGUAGGUGGCAAGCGUUAUCCGGAUUUAUUGGGCGUAAAGGGAACGCAGGCGGUCUUUUAAGUCUGAUGUGAAAGCCUUCGGCUUAACCGGAGUAGUGCAUUGGAAACUGGGAGACUUGAGUGCAGAAGAGGAGAGUGGAACUCCAUGUGUAGCGGUGAAAUGCGUAGAUAUAUGGAAGAACACCAGUGGCGAAAGCGGCUCUCUGGUCUGUAACUGACGCUGAGGUUCGAAAGCGUGGGUAGCAAACAGGAUUAGAUACCCUGGUAGUCCACGCCGUAAACGAUGAAUGCUAAGUGUUGGAGGGUUUCCGCCCUUCA